AACAACUCUGAACGGUGGAUCACUCGGCUCGUGUGUCGAUGAAGAGCGCGCAGCAAACUGUGUGAAUUAAUGUGAACUGCGUACUGCUUUGAGCAUCGACAUCUUGAUGACGCAUAUUGCGGCCAUGGGCUAGCCUGUGGCCACGCCUGUCCGAGGGUCGGCUU
rnacentral:rRNA from 1 species